CAGCUCUGGGAGAGGAGCCCCAGCCCGGGAUUCCAGCUGCUCCCAUUCUCUGAGCAGGACUGAGCACAGACGACCCGCCAUGGAGCUGGGGCUGAGCUGGGUGGUCCUGGCUGCUCUUCUACAAGGUGUCCAGGCUCAGGUGCAGCUGGUGGAGUCUGGGGGAGGCUUGGUGCAGCCUGGGGGUUCUCUGAGACUCUCCUGUGCAGCCUCUGGACUCACCUUCAGUAGCUACUACAUGAGCUGGGUCCGCCAGGCUCCAGGGAAGGGGCUGGAGUCGGUGUCCAGUAUUUAUAGUUACAGUAGUAACACAUACUAUGCAGACUCCGUGAAGGGCCGAUUCACCAUCUCCAGAGACAACGCCAAGAACACGCUGUAUCUGCAAAUGAACAGCCUGAAACCUGAGGACACGGCCGUGUAUUACUGUGCCACAGGCACAGGCCCUUGCCAGCGGUCGUCUCCUGUGGAGGAGUAUUCUGGGGCUCGUCUUCCAGCAGAAGUGCUCCAAUCCCGCCUGCCACACACUGCAGCUCAGAAACGGGUCUGGACUCUUCGACUCCUACAGUAGGGGAGCAGGCCCGGC